rnacentral:rRNA from 1 species
CCAGUAGUGGGGGACAACGUUUCGAAAGGAACGCUAAUACCGCAUACGUCCUACGGGAGAAAGUGGGGGAUCUUCGGACCUCACGCUAUUGGAUGAGCCUAGGUCGGAUUAGCUAGUUGGUAGGGUAAAGGCCUACCAAGGCGACGAUCCGUAACUGGUCUGAGAGGAUGAUCAGUCACACUGGAACUGAGACACGGUCCAGACUCCUACGGGAGGCAGCAGUGGGGAAUAUUGGACAAUGGGCGAAAGCCUGAUCCAGCCAUGCCGCGUGUGUGAAGAAGGCCCUCGGGUCGUAAAGCACUUUAAGUUGGGAGGAAGGGCUCAUAGCGAAUACCUGUGAGUUUUGACGUUACCAACAGAAUAAGCACCGGCUAACUUCGUGCCAGCAGCCGCGGUAAUACGAAGGGUGCAAGCGUUAAUCGGAAUUACUGGGCGUAAAGCGCGCGUAGGUGGCUUGAUAAGUUGGAUGUGAAAUCCCCGGGCUCAACCUGGGAACUGCAUCCAAAACUGUCUGGCUAGAGUGCGGUAGAGGGUAGUGGAAUUUCCAGUGUAGCGGUGAAAUGCGUAGAUAUUGGAAGGAACACCAGUGGCGAAGGCGACUACCUGGACUGACACUGACACUGAGGUGCGAAAGCGUGGGGAGCAAACAGGAUUAGAUACCCU